rnacentral:rRNA from 1 species
GGGGAAUUUUGGACAAUGGGGGCAACCCUGAUCCAGCCAUGCCGCGUGAGUGAAGAAGGCCUUCGGGUUGUAAAGCUCUUUCGGCCGGGAAGAAAUCGUGGUCUCUAACAUAGGCCAUGGAUGACGGUACCGGACUAAGAAGCACCGGCUAACUACGUGCCAGCAGCCGCGGUAAUACGUAGGGUGCGAGCGUUAAUCGGAAUUACUGGGCGUAAAGCGUGCGCAGGCGGUUUUGUAAGACAGAUGUGAAAUCCCCGGGCUCAACCUGGGAACUGCGUUUGUGACUGCAAGGCUAGAGUACGGCAGAGGGGGGUGGAAUUCCACGUGUAGCAGUGAAAUGCGUAGAGAUGUGGAGGAACACCGAUUGCGAAGGCAGCUUACCAAGCAAAUACUGACGCUCAUGCACGAAAGCGUGGGGAUCAAAC